GAUGAACGCUGGCGGCGUGCUUAACACAUGCAAGUCGAACGAAGCACUUUAAUCGAUUUCUUCGGAUUGAAAUUUUAGUGACUGAGUGGCGGACGGGUGAGUAACGCGUGGGUAACCUGCCUCACACAGGGGGAUAACAGUUGGAAACGGCUGCUAAUACCGCAUAAGCGCACAGUACCGCAUGGUACAGUGUGAAAAACUCCGGUGGUGUGAGAUGGACCCGCGUCUGAUUAGCUAGUUGGCAGGGCAACGGCCUACCAAGGCGACGAUCAGUAGCCGACCUGAGAGGGUGACCGGCCACAUUGGGACUGAGACACGGCCCAAAUCCUACGGGAGCAGCAGUGGGGAAUAUUGCACAAUGGGGGAAACCCUGAUAGCAGCGACGCCGCGUGAGCGAAGAAGUAUUUCGGAUGUAAAGCUCUAAUCAGCAGGGAAGAAGAAAUGACGGUAC
rnacentral:rRNA from 1 species